UGGGGAAUAUUGGGCAAUGGAGGAAACUCUGACCCAGCGACGCCGCGUGCGGGAUGAAGGCCUUCGGGUUGUAAACCGCUUUCAGCAGGGAAGAAGCGAAAGUGACGGUACCUGCAGAAGAAGCACCGGCUAACUAUGUGCCAGCAGCCGCAGUAAUACAUAGGGUGCAAGCGUUGUCCGGAAUUAUUGGGCGUAAAGAGCUCGUAGGUGGUUCGUCACGUCGGAUGUGAAAAUCUGGGGCUUAACCCCAGACCUGCAUUCGAUACGGGCGAGCUAGAGUGUGGUAGGGGAGACUGGAAUUCCUGGUGUAGCGGUGGAAUGCGCAGAUAUCAGGAGGAACACCAAUGGCGAAGGCAGGUCUCUGGGCCAUUACUGACACUGAGGAGCGAAAGCGUGGGGAGCGAACAGGAUUAGAUACCCUGGUAGUCCACGCCGUAAACGGUGGGCACUAGUUGUGGGAACCUUCCACGGUUUCUGCGACGCAGCUAACGCAUUAAGUGCCCCGCCUGGGGAGUACGAUCGCAAGAUUA
rnacentral:rRNA from 1 species